rnacentral:rRNA from 1 species
CAUUACAACAGCCAUAGUUUAUUGGAUCUUAGAGUCCUACUUGGAUACCUGUGGUAAUUCUAGAGCUAAUACACGCAAUCAAGCCUCAACCUUACGGGCGGGGCGCAUUUAUUAGAACAAAACCAAUUGGCUUCGGCCAUAGAUUGGUGAAUCUGAAUAACUACGCUGAUCGCACGGGCUUGUCCCGGCGACGUAUCCUUCAAGUGUCUGCCUUAUCAACUUUCGAUGGUAGUUUAUAUGACUACCAUGGUUGUAACGGGUAACGGAGAAUAAGGGUUCGACUCCGGAGAGGGAGCCUGAGAAACGGCUACCACAUCCAAGGAAGGCAGCAGGCGCGCAAAUUACCCACUCUCAGAACGAGGAGGUAGUGACGAAAAAUAACGAGACAGUUCUCUAUGAGGUCUGUCAUCGGAAUGGGUACAAUCUAAACCCUUUAACGAGGAUCUAUUGGAGGGCAAGUCUGGUGCCAGCAGCCGCGGUAAUUCCAGCUCCAAUAGCGUAUAUUAAAGUUGUUGCGGUUAAAAAGCUCGUAGUUGGAUCUGCGGUCACAGACGCUGGUUUCCUUCACGGAAUACUGGUUGUCUUGACCUACCUUGCUGGUUUUCCCUUGGUGCUCUUUACUGAGUGCCUUGGGUGGCUAGCACGUUUACUUUGAAAAAAUUAGAGUGCUUAACGCAGGCUUUUGCCUGAAUAGUGGUGCAUGGAAUAAUGGAAUAGGACCUCGGUUCUAUUUUGUUGGUUUUCGGAGCACGAGGUAAUGAUUAAGAGGGACAGACGGGGGCAU